UACGUAGGGUGCAAGCGUUAAUCGGAAUUACUGGGCGUAAAGCGUGCGCAGGCGGUUUUGUAAGGCUGUCGUGAAAGCCCCGGGCCCAACCUGGGAAUUGCGAUGGAGACUGCAAGGCUUGAAUCUGGCAGAGGGGGGUAGAAUUCCCCGUGUAGCAGUGAAAUGCGUAGAGAUGGGGAGGAACACCGAUGGCGAAGGCAGCCCCCUGGGUCAAGAUUGACGCUCAUGCACGAAAGCGUGGGGAGCAAACAGG
rnacentral:rRNA from 1 species